rnacentral:misc_RNA from 1 species
UUGUGCGAUUUUCGUUUUCGCUCGGACGUCACGCGUUCAGAGGGUCUUUGGGGUGUGCGCCGGCGGUCGCGGCCCCCGGGGGAUGAUCCCCGGGGCGCGGCCCGCCGAAGCAGACGCGGUAGCUCGCGCAACGGGUGGAGGCUUCGGGGGCGGGGCCCCCGGGGCGCUCGGUAAUGAUCCUUCCGCAGGUUCACCUACGGAAA